GCCUUCCGGCCGCCUUAUGUUAAAAUUAAGGGUGCCUGCCGGUGCCUGGCCAUAAUCGCCGGUCAGGCCCGGAUGAGAGGCCGUAUCCGAGCCGCAACUGAAUGCGGGGCCCGUGCGAUGCAGGCCUGUGAACCCCGUCAGAUCCGGAAGGAAGCAGCGGUAAGCGGACCCCUGUAUGUGCCGCGGGGAAACCUGGUUCGGUUGCGGCUCGGGUACGGCAUUUUGGAAGGC
rnacentral:SRP_RNA from 1 species